GUACAUACACAAGAACUAGUCGAUCGGUUUAAUUUUCUUCUAGCCUUUCACUGUUUGGGGUCGCUUGGCAACUACACUCAAUUAACUAAUGACUGGGGAAACUGCCUCUUAUGGAGAGUGUUGGUAUUCAUGUGGAUACUGAAAUGUCAUGCUUGAAACAAGGUGACAAUAGAGAUUGGUAGAAUUUUUUCCAAGUUGUGGGAAUGGAUGAAACUUUAAGGGAAGUCAUACUAACAUAAAGCAUAGGGAAGGAAUCACUACAAUGGGGUAAACACAUGAUCAGUAGUAUCUAAAUCAUAUAGAAGACCUAGCUGGCACUCCGUAUGAAAAUGGCGUUUUUCACAUGAAACCAAUCCUGUCCUAUGAGUUUCCCCAGUCACUUCCUAAAGGUUUGUAAAAAAAAUGUUAGAUAUGAAAUCCAUAUUCUUACUCUUUCUGUUGUAACUUCGUUUGGUACGUUAUGUACCUGCGGGUAGAGGGACGGAUUUCGUUACUUGAACGUUUAUUUCUUUCAAAAGAUUAUUUCAACAAUUUUAAGUUAUAUAUUUGUGUGUUAGUCCACUCGCGAAAUUCGCAGGAUCUUAGACUAGUGUUGGUAUAUCUGUAAUUCGUGAACUUUAGCCAUCAUCAAAAUUUAUUCACACCUCAAAUUAAUAAGGUAGAUACAACAAUAAUAUACUAAAUUUAUUUGAAGAUUCAUGUUAGGAUCUAAGUUUCUUAGAUUGUGUUGUUUAAUUAAAGUGAAGGUGAAACAGAGAUAUGAAUUGCAGUGGAAUAUGGAAAUAAACUUUGAUAACACAAUCAAUGGAUAAUAGUUUUAAGUAAACAUGAUUUCAUUUAGUCGAAAGAUUGUAUCUAUUACAAGAUUCAACUAAAUUGCAUGUACACACUAGACUCCCCCUCAGCCCGAGCUCUGUGAUUUGUUCGUACUGAAUGACUUGUGGUGAAAGAGCUUAUGGAACAGUAUAGAGUACUGUUCUAUUUAUAGUACUAGCAAACCACUGGGCAUCUUUGGCUGACGUUACCAUGAAAGGGACAUCUAACCUCCUAACAAACUCUAAGGACUGUUACAUAUAACCACUGAUUACAUAAAUACUGAUUACAUAGACACUGCUUAUAUAAACCACUGAUUCUUCAUUCCACUGUUGUAGCCUAAGCACUGAUGUUGAGCAUCAGUGCUUUCUUCAAAAGGGUGAUCAGUCCUUGAAUGGGCAGUACUUUAAUCUUCAGCAGUGCUUGGAAGACAGUAGUAGAUAAAGCUUCAGUUCUUUACAUUAGAUCAGGUGUUAGCAAACCACUGUCAAGGGGAGAAUCUUGUGCGAACAGUGCUUAUGAUGAUUAGCAGUACUUUGAACCAAUUUUAACUUUCCUUAUCAUCUGUUCUUCUAGGACCAACAAUCUCCCCUAGAACAUAUGAUGCCAAAACACUUCAUUAUUUCUGAUCUUUAUUGCUUCAUCAACAUUUCCCUAACUUGCCCCUUGAAUUGUAAUUCAAAGUUUAGGGAAUCUUCAUCAUCCUCAUCCCUACAAAGCUGAAGCUCUAGGAGAUCUUGGAGGUCAGCUACACUCAGGCCUAGUGCAUCCUCCCUUGAUAUGUGCUUAACUUCUCCACUGGACUUGAGCAAGGUCAAUACGUGGGUCUUUUGAUCAGACUUCCACUUUAGUAUCUUUGAGUUCAGUGGGUUUCUUGGGAGAGCUUUUAUUUUUGAUGAGUUUGGUGAUGGAGGCCUGCUCAUGAAUCUUUUGGCAAUUUCUUGAAGCUUUGCUGAGUCAGGAUUCUCUACAAUCAUUUGCUAGAGAACCACUUUCAUAAUGUCAGCUUCUCUUUGUGCAUCUUCUUCUUCGUUAAUAUGCUUUUGCCUUUUUCUUUGGUUUAAGGCAAUGAUGGAAGUGUCAGAUUGUCACACCCCGACCACGUAAAACAACAAAUCGCGGCGGAAUCGUCAGGGAGUGUUGUAAUAGAAUCAUUGUUUCAUAAGACACGGAAAUUUGAAGUUUUGUUUUAUUUAAAGAUUAACCAUUUACAUUGUCUU
rnacentral:lncRNA from 1 species